GCAUAUCAAUAAGCGGAGGAAAAGAAACUAACAAGGAUUCCCCUAGUAACUGCGAGUGAAGCGGGAUGAGCUCAAAUUUAAAAUCUGGCAGUUUUACUGUCCGAGUUGUAAUUUAGAGAAGCAUUUUCUGUGCUAGACUGUGUACAAGUCUCCUGGGAUGGAGCGUCAUAGAGGGUGAGAAUCCCGUCUUUGACACAGACUACUAGUGCUCUGUGAUAUGCUCUCAAAGAGUCGAGUUGUUUGGGAAUGCAGCUCAAAAUGGGUGGUGAACUCCAUCUAAAGCUAAAUAUUGGCGAGAGACCGAUAGCGAACAAGUACCGUGAGGGAAAGAUGAAAAGCACUUUGGAAAGAGAGUGAAACAGUACGUGAAAUUGCUGAAAGGGAAACGCUUGAAGUCAGUCACGUUUGCUAGAAUUCAGCCUUGUGGUGUACUUUCUAGUAAAUGGGCCAGCAUCAUUUUUGAUCAUUGGAAAAAGGCAGAGGAAAAGUGGCACUACUUGUAGUGUGUUAUAGUCCUUUGUCAAAUACAGUGGUUAAGAGUGAGGAAUGCCAUUUUUUUGUAGGAUGCUGGCGUAAUGGCUUUAAACGACCCGUCUUGAAACACGGACCAAGGAGUCUAACAUGCCUGCGAGUGUUUGGGUGGUUAAAACUCAUGCGCGUAAUGAAAGUGAAAGUUGGGAAGGUUAUCAUGACCUGCACCGACGCCCGGACUUGAGAUUUAUCAAAGGUUCUGCGGUAGAGCAUGUAUGUUGGGACCCGAAAGAUGGUGAACUAUGCCUGAAUAGGGUGAAGCCAGAGGAAACUCUGGUGGAGGCUCGUAGCGAUUCUGACGUGCAAAUCGAUCGUCAAAUUUGGGUAUAGGGGCGAAAGACUAAUCGAACCAUCUAGUAGCUGGUUCCUGCG
rnacentral:rRNA from 1 species